UACAGAGGGGGCAAGCGUUGUUCGGAAUUACUGGGCGUAAAGGGCGCGUAGGCGGCCUUCUAAGUCGAACGUGAAAUCCCCGGGCUCAACCCGGGAACUGCGUCCGAGACUGGAAGGCUCGAAUCCGGGAGAGGGAUGUGGAAUUCCAGGUGUAGCGGUGAAAUUCGUAGAUAUUCGGAGGAACACCAGUGGCGAAGGCGGCUCACUGGUCCGGUACUGACGCUGAGGUGCGAAAGCGUGGGGAGCAAACAGG
rnacentral:rRNA from 1 species